GCCUCCCUAGCUCAGUGGUAGAGCGACGCACUUGUAAUGCGUAGGUCGUCAGUUCAAUCCUGACGGGGGGCUCCA
rnacentral:tRNA from 2 species